UGAAUACCGAUAAUAACGCUCAACCAUCGACAAUGCUAGUACGUACACGCGUUGUGUGCAUACGUACACUCGCGGGGGCGAACAAUAAGUGAAAAUUCCAGAGCCGAUAAUGUCAUCUGCGCCUCAAUGCCGGCACAUCCGACGGUGUCCCGUGCACCGCGGGCAAACAUUUACACAUACCGGGAAUGAAUGCAUCCAGAGAUUUCGCGUGUAUCCCAUUAUCGGUAUAUGAAAAAUUCAGCGGCUUCGUCGGGGCUUCCCCCGUCUUAUUUACACAGCGUCUCGUAUGCGUUCGGCCAACGAUGGCGUUCGUAUAAACUGCGCAAUUUGAUUACACGGCUUCGAAUUUUUUGUUGUCGCUUGAAUUAUUAGGCGAACGAACGGUACGUCAGGUCGAGGUGCAUUUUAGCGACCUCGGAAGCUUGGAAAAUAUGGCCUCGGGAAAUAUGGAAUAUUGUUUAUCAGGAUCUGUUUUUUACAAUUCGCGAGUUAUUAGAAUUUUUUAAUUUUAAAAUUGAUAGAAUUCUGUUUCCUCCAAAUGCGAAUGCACGUGCAGGUUUGAAGAGGGUUGACCUCUAAGGGUAAUUGUAUUUUCGGCGAACAUUUAUUUUUCCGAGGGGCAUUUUGUCUGCUUCUACGAGUGAAAUACUUUCGGUAGACUUCACCCCUGACAAAUGUUUGCAAAGAGCGUUGAUUAAUGGUUCCAAAUGUCCAAGCAACUGGAUCGUUUAGCGUUAUUGUCGGCCGAGUGGAUCCUUUAAUUCAAAUUUUCUUCAGGCCAUCCCCCGUUCAGUUUCCCCUUGUUUUUUUUACAAAAUUUUUUUUUAAAUCAUUAAAGAACAGUAAAGUAAAAAAGAAAAAUAAAAAUUGCAAACCUCUUGAAAAUACUUGUAAAAUACUUGCACCUACAAAAAUAAGAUUCUCGUCGAAUCACCUCGCAUCCAAUUAAUAAAACGACCAAGAGACUAGCCAGGCUGCUGCCCCCUGGAUCGACCACAGAAGUGAAACACUGCAGAAGUCAUCGCAGAGGUUAACCCGGGCAGUCCCUUCCGUUCCUCAAUCUAUCAGCGACAGCGAUUUCCCGGCAAUUAGGAGACCCGAUCGACGCCGAGAGAGAAAGGUCUAUUAAUGUCAUUCGAUGGCCCCAGUUGGCCGAGAGAUGGCGAUCUCGAUUUGUCCUGCGGCCCCUUCGCGAUUGGUCGACGAUUUUUCUGGCACUGAAUCUAAAAUCAUUCCCGCCUCCCCUCUCCCCCGCGUUGCACCGUCCUCAGCAUCGCGAAGAGGGAACCAAGCUCGUACGGAGUGUAUUGUAUUCGUCUAUCGGUCGUUUAGCACCUUCCGCGCCAUCUUCCCUUCCGUUUUAGGCCCCUGUACGGUAUUCUAAACUUAGCCCGUCUCUCUCGCUCUCUUUCUUUUUCCCCACGGUUCCCUCCUUCGGGCACCGUUCGUCGUCUCCUUCAACCUCGUCGCGGACACGGAGUCACCCGAUCGCCGUCUCGCCUCGUCGUCGGUUUGCAUCCUCGUUCUUUCCGGUACCCCGAAGUCCGGGAACCUGCGGCGCGACCUCUGAAUCGCGAGUCGUUUCGCGGGAAUACCCACGAUUUUCGGCCCGCACGAACCCGGCCCCUCCGUCGAUCGAGAAAGUGACGUACCCUUCACUUCGGUUGUUUACCCGCGACGGUCAAGCCAGCCGUGCGACUCGAGAAACGUGAUAGUGUCGCGUUAGAGUGAAGCCGAGAAGUGACACCGUCCUCAGGUGUAACGACCUUCCCCCGUUGUACGCGCCAGAGGAAAACGGCCAAGACUCGGGCUUCUGCCGCUUGUUGACCGAGUGUCUUCAAGCUGGAGCUGGCAAAGAGGGCUUUCGGCCUGAGGGGGUAACGCGUGGAAAUGCUACGCAACAACGAAGGGGCGUUUCGAGAGACGCUCACGUGAAAUCAAGGCGGAAAACCACGUAACCGCGAAAUGGUUUGAACGUGCCUAUAUCACCCCCGGUAAGAGAUUCUUGUCAUUCAUAUUCUACCUGAAAGCUGCCAAAACACAAGAUCCCUUCAAUGAGUAAGAGACUCUUAUAAUUGAUAAUUUACCUGAAAGCUGCAAAGGACAUCCUUCGAACGAGUAAGAGAUCCUUAGAAUUCAUACUUUACCCGAAAGCUGUCAAAGCGCACAAUUCCCCCAACGAGUAAGAAACUCUUGUAAUUCAUGUCUAACCUGGAGGCUGCCAAAGCACAAAAUCCCUUCAAGGAUGCAAGGACUGAGCAUACCUGGGAGCGUUUGAGAAGCACGUCCCCCGAGACCCCUCCAGCCAAAAUCACUCGCCUAACCUCUCCCCUGUCCUCCUUAUCCUCCUCCACACCCUUUCCCUCCGCAAAUCUCGAGAAGAAAAUCCCUCAUCGCAAUCACAGAAUCCGUGUCUUCGUUAUGGACGGUAUGGAUUCGAAGCCAGCCUUGAACGAUGACCCUUCGGUCACCCUGACCAUCCGCCUGAUCAUGCAGGGCAAGGUAAGUUCGGUUCGUCAACCGACCUGCUACUCCGAGAACGACUCCGACUUGCCUUCCGUUUCCUAGAACUCGACGCAAAAUGCCUAGCAACGUCUAGCAACAACUGAUACACUAGAUGAAAUACGAAACCGAAGCGCACUUACAAGUUUCAAUUCCAUUUAUAAAUCGAAUCAAUUUUCCAACGAUUACGUAAGGGUACGGGAACAGCUCGCGCUGUAAAACCACCCGACACAAUUCCAUUUACCCGUCGAAGACAAAUUGCAAAUAUAAAUCAGGGGCGUUGUUGCACAACGCUGCACGAAAACACGGAUUUAUCGUUCGGUGACGGUAUUAUUACUGGGCCUUUUCUUUCUUUUCAUUUAGAAUGGUACGUAAUUUUCUGUACGUAGAUCAUUGCACGUACUAUUAUUGGGGGAUGAAGGACUAGUCGAAUUUUUUCGGCAGUCCAAAUAUUCGAACAUUUCAGCGAUGAAUAGUUUAAUUUUCUUGCAUUUGUCGAGAUACAGUAUUUAAUUUUACAUAUAAUUACGUAGAUGUAGCAUUGCACCGUCUGUACGGCUGGUUACUGUCCAGCGAUGGUCCAGUGGUCCACCUAAUCCAGUCAUUUUUGUUCGUAAUCGGAAAGAUACGAAUUUUAAAGAUUUUUUCCUCCAUUUUUGGGGAUUACGCGCGCUCAUGUUUUGCUCGCAAUAAAAGCUCUCGGACGGAUUUAAAAGGGAAUCCUUUCAUCUCGUCCUUUUUUCUUGUCCCCGCGGAUAAUAUUGCAACUUGAGUGGCGGUCGCGUGUGCGCUGCUCGAAAAACAAAUAUCAACGAGUGGGUGACCGUGCAGAAGGGUGUAGGUACAGUGCUUGUCAACCUUUCGUAGCUUGGGACUCGCUUCUUUAUAUUCCUCUUCGUGUCGGACAGCGUGGCUAACUUAGAAACUACUUGUAUCGACUAAAUAAAAUUAAACGUGGAACGUAAACAAGGAAUUGGAAGACUUACUAUUCAUAAGUUAUACACAGAGAGAAAAUAUA